rnacentral:piRNA from 1 species
UCAAGUGGUAUCCACAGUGUCCAAGAGU